rnacentral:rRNA from 2 species
UUAAGUGCCAUAACGAGCGCAACCCUUGUUGUCAGUUACUAACAGGUUCCACUGAGGACUCUGACAAGGCUGCCAUCGUAAGAUGUGAGGAAAGUGGGGAUGACGUCAAAUCAGCACGGCCCUUACGUCCGGGGCUACACACGUGUUACAAUGGGGGGUACAGAGGGCCGCUACCACGCGAGUGGAUGCCAAUCCCCAAAACCUCUCUCAGUUCGGAGUGGAGUUUGCAAACCGAGUCC